CGUCAUGUUGACGAACAAAGGAGUUUAGGCGAACCGAUGCGUUUUAUCCACCAUAUACAUAAAAUGUUGUAAUGAAUCAACACGGCCUCUUACAAAAACCUGUUGAUUAUUUUUUGGCGCCUCCAAAAUCAAAUUCAUACAGUUCCAACACCGGUUCGUAACCCAUCCGUCGAUCGAUGCAAUUUAACAUUACGUGAUUACUUCGACUCAAUCCUUGUUCGCUUCACCUUCAACGCCCGCCCUUCAGCAAAUCAAUCCACCGAUUCCCCAUCUCCUACAACAAAACGGACGACUUUAUCCCUAAUUGGAAAUCCAACAUAUAAUCCCCAAAAAAAACCGCAAUUCCUUGGUCAAAUGUCCUGUUAUACAUUUUUUUCCAUCGCUUCAAAAAACGAUCCAUCCAACCGACAUGGCUUUUGUUGAAGACAAAAAGGGUAUAUAAACACUCCUUAUAUUGCUUGCUGAACAAAAUUGAUGAUCGGCUUUCCUCUGUUUGAUAUCUUCUUCCCCGUUCAGUGCCCGAAGGUAGGAGGGGACACAUGGCAUAUUUCUUUAUAUUUGUUGGAUCUUCUGAUGGUGAUGGGAGGGGCAAUAUGCUUUUCAUGUAGCAGCUGAAUCAUUCCUCACAUGUGACACAUUUUCUUCCACCAAUCCUCUCUGAAUCCCUUUGUGUUUUGGUUAUGUGAGACCUCUGAUGUAUUAAAAAAAGUGAUAGAUGGUGCAGAAUUCAUUCCACAAAUGGUGAAAUUUCUUGAUGGCGAUGCUAAGUCAUUUGGGUCACAAAAAAAAGGGAGGAGAGUAUUUUCCCUCUAACUUUUAUUUUUAAAAAAUGUUUAUAUCUAUAUUGAAACCAAGUAUCUAGAGUUCUAAUGGUUUAUCUCAGGUGCUUUGAAACCCAAGACAGAAGAAAUGAAGGAGCAAAAAAGAAGAUGCACCUAUAUGUAUGUUUUGUAUGCUUCUUUUACCGUAUUUAGUAUUUCUUAAAUGUAGGCCAGCCAAUGAUGCCAUACCACUUACAUAUUCGUGUUACACAUUAGUCCAAUGAGGCAUAUUUCACAUUCAUUUAAGUUAAUUGAUCUGGUCUGAGUAGUAGUUGUUGAGCAUUAUGAUAAUGGUUUAUGAUUUUUUUUCUUCAUUGAAUGUAUGGGGUAAGUUGUUUAAUUCCAUCAAUACUUGGAGUCUUGGAGUUAUACUCAUUCAUCUUUCUGUAACUUGUUAUUUGCAAAUUUACCAUUUAUGUUUUGGAUGUGCGAUGUUAAUAGAUAAUCAAGUUUAUAUUA